rnacentral:rRNA from 1 species
GGCCAGACUCCUACGGGAGGCAGCAGUGAGGAAUAUUGGUCAAUGGGCGGGAGCCUGAACCAGCCAAGUCGCGUGAGGGACGACGGUCCUAUGGAUUGUAAACCUCUUUUGUCGGGGAACAAAGGCGCCCACGGGUGGGCGGAUGAGUGUACCCGAAGAAAAAGCAUCGGCUAACUCCGUGCCAGCAGCCGCGGUAAUACGGAGGAUGCGAGCGUUAUCCGGAUUUAUUGGGUUUAAAGGGUGCGUAGGCGGACAGUCAAGUCAGCGGUAAAAAUGCGGUGCUCAACGCCGUACAGCCGUUGAAACUGGCAGUCUUGAGUGGGCGAGAAGUAUGCGGAAUGCGUGGUGUAGCGGUGAAAUGCGUAGAUAUACGGAGGAACACCAGUGGCGAAGGCGGCCUGCUGGACAUUAACUGACGCUGAGGCGCGAAAGCGUGGGGAGCAAACAGGAUUAGAUACCCUUGUAGC